rnacentral:rRNA from 1 species
UACGUAGGGGGCAAGCGUUGUCCGGAAUCAUUGGGCGUAAAGAGCGUGUAGGCGGCUCGGUAAGUCUGCUGUGAAAGUCCAGGGCUCAACCCUGGGAUGCCGGUGGAUACUGUCGGGCUCGAGUCCGGAAGAGGAGUGUGGAAUUCCUGGUGUAGCGGUGAAAUGCGCAGAUAUCAGGAGGAACACCAAUGGCGAAGGCAGCACUCUGGGACGUGACUGACGCUGAGACGCGAAAGCGUGGGGAGCAAACAGG